GAUGAAGAACGUAGCGAAAUGCGAUAAGUAGUGUGAAUUGCAGAAUUCAGUGAAUCAUCGAGUCUUUGAACGCACAUUGCGCCCCCUGGUAUUCCGGGGGGCAUGCCUGUCCGAGCGUCAUUGCUGCCCUCAAGCACGGCUUGUGUGUUGGGCCUCCGUCCUCCUCCCGGGGGACGGGCCCGAAAGGCAGCGGCGGCACCGCGUCCGGUCCUCGAGCGUAUGGGGCUUCGUCACCCGCUCUUGUAGGCCCGGCCGGAGCUUGCCGACACAUCAAUCUUUUUUCCAGGUUGACCUCGGAUCAGGUAGGGAUACCCGCUGAACUUAAGCAUAUCAAUAAGCGGAGGA
rnacentral:misc_RNA from 1 species